CCCUUGAUCUUAGUUGCCAGCAUUUAGUAGGGCACUCUAAGGUGACUGCCGGUGACAAACCGGAGGAAGGUGGGGAUGACGUCAAAUCAUCAUGCCCCUUAUGACCUGGGCUACACACGUGCUACAAUGGAUGGUGCAAAGGGCUGCAAGACCGCGAGGUCAAGCCAAUCCCAUAAAACCAUUCUCAGUUCGGAUUGUAGGCUGCAACUCGCCUACAUGAAACUGGAAUCGCUAGUAAUCGCGGAUCAUCAUGCCGCGGUGAAUACGUUCCCGGGCCUUGUACACACCGCCCGUCACACCACCAGAGUUUGUAACACCCGAAGUCGGUGGAGUAACCGUAAGGAGCUACCCGCCUAAUGUGGGACAAAUGAUUGGGGUGAAGUCGUAACAAGGUAGCCGUAUCAGAAGGUGCGGCUGGAUC
rnacentral:rRNA from 1 species